UCCUCAGGGACAGGUGAGGAGCGCACAUUCAACUUCCACUGUUCAUUGACCGUCUGUGGUGCAAUUUGUUUGUGGGUCUGCGUGUGUGUGUGUCUUUGCUUGCUUCUGUGUGUGUCUACUCAGCAGGCGUUAAUAAUGAUAAACAAAUAAUAGUAAAUGCUAUUUGUAUGGAACUCAA